AUCGCUUCUCGGCCUUUGGCUAAGAUCAAAUGUGUAUAUCUGUUCUUAUCAGCUUAACAUCUGAUAGUUCUCCAUUGAGGACCGCAAAUGUUAAACUGAUUUUGGUAUCAGACGGAGUGCUAGGAGCUUGCUCCACCUCUGUCAAGGGUUGGCCCGGUAUUGCAGCACCGCUGGGAUUUCAGCCCAACUAAG